rnacentral:lncRNA from 1 species
CCCGGCGGGUGCGGGCAGCGCUCGGGGGAAGGGGCGCCGCUCUCCCCCGGCCCGGCGGGCAGCCGCGGCCAUCCGGGGAGAGCCCGAGCGGAUCCCGGCGGCGGGGCCGCGGAUCAGCACCACGGACAGCGCCCGGCGGGGCCGCGCCGGGACACGAGCCCGGCACCGGGAAGCGGCACCGCGCACCGGCGGGUGCGGGCAGGACUCUCCCGGGACAUCACCGCCCACCCAGAGCCACCGAGGCGGCGCUGGAUGUUCGCCGGGGCCGGGAUCUCAUAGAUGGAUCCAACCCAGAGGUCUCUGAAGAACAGGGGACUCGGGUUCUCACCCAGUGCUGA